rnacentral:rRNA from 1 species
AGCGAACGCUGGCGGCAGGCCUAACACAUGCAAGUCGAACGAACCUUUCGGGGUUAGUGGCGGACGGGUGAGUAACACGUGGGAACGUGCCUUUAGGUUCGGAAUAACUCAGGGAAACUUGUGCUAAUACCGAAUGUGCCCUUCGGGGGAAAGAUUUAUCGCCUUUAGAGCGGCCCGCGUCUGAUUAGCUAGUUGGUUGAGGUAAUGGCUCACCAAGGCGACGAUCAGUAGCUGGUCUGAGAGGAUCAUCAGCCACAUUGGGACUGAGACACGGCCCAAACUCCUACGGGAGGCAGCAGUGGGGAAUCUUGCGCAAUGGGCGAAAGCCUGACGCAGCCAUGCCGCGUGAAUGAUGAAGGUCUUAGGAUUGUAAAAUUCUUUCAACGGGGACGAUAAUGACGGUACCCGGAGAAGAAGCCCCGGCUAACUUCGUG